GACCUAAAUGCACUAAAAUCAGCCAACAUAUUACACUUGAUGGGCACCUAAGUCUUUAAGGGGCCUUUUGGUCUUUUUUAUCUUUUAUUUGUAAUAGGAUAUAAAUAGAACCAUGUAGGGUUUCUUUGAUUAGUUUUUAAUGAUAUUUGUGAGUCUUGAAAGACCAAAGAACACAAGUCCUCUCUCCUUGAGGCACCAAAAAAGAAACUAGGAUACAACAAUAGGGUGGAUUUUCUUUUGUUGUUGCUUGCUUGGAAACGUUGAUG
rnacentral:lncRNA from 1 species